rnacentral:rRNA from 1 species
UCGAACGCGUCUCCGUUAAUGAUUUUAGGUGCUUGCACUUGAGAGACCUUUCAUUGAGACGAGUGGCGAACUGGUGAGUAACACGUGGCUAACCUGCCCUUGAAGUAGGGGAUAACACUUGGAAACAGGUGCUAAUACCGUAUAACAACCAAAACCACCUGGUUUUGGUUUAAAAGACGGCUUCGGCUGUCACUUUAGGAUGGACCCGCGGCGUAUUAGCUUGUUGGUAAGGUAACGGCCUACCAAGGCGAUGAUACGUAGCCGACCUGAGAGGGUAAUCGGCCACGUUGGGACUGAGACACGGCCCAAACUCCUACGGGAGGCAGCAGUAGGGAAUCUUCCACAAUGGACGAAAGUCUGAUGGAGCAACGCCACGUGAGUGAUGAAGGGUUUCGGCUCGUAAAACUCUGUUGUUGGAGAAGAACAGGUGUCAGAGUAACUGUUGACAUCUUGACGGUAUCCAACCAGAAAGCCACGGCUAACUACGUGCCAGCAGCCGCGGUAAUACGUAGGUGGCAAGCGUUGUCCGGAUUUAUUGGGCGUAAAGCGAGCGCAGGCGGUUUUUUAGGUCUGAUGUGAAAGCCUUCGGCUUAACCGGAGAAGUGCAUCGGAAACCGGGAGACUUGAGUGCAGAAGAGGACAGUGGAACUCCAUGUGUAGCGGUGAAAUGCGUAGAUAUAUGGAAGAACACCAGUGGCGAAGGCGGCUGUCUGGUCUGUAACUGACGCUGAGGCUCGAAAGCAUGGGUAGCG